rnacentral:lncRNA from 1 species
CUUGUUCUUUUUUCCCUCAUUUUUUAGAGCAGCUCAGUGGGGAGCUUCAUUAUGAGAGUGUGUAGCCCGUCUGUCUCUCGCCCUAGCAGCUAAUAAAUUACCACAGAGACCAGUGACCUGUUAGUGAAACACUCCAAGCCUAAAAAUCAAGCCAAGGCAUGUGUAAUGUCCUUCAGAAUGCAUCAGAGCAGAUCCUUCACCAGCUGGAGGGAUCCAUGUGGGAACAGCACUAGGUCCUUCCUACCUCAGGCAACGUGAAGCAACCUCAGGAUUUCCAAAUGUUUUGUCAUCAACAACAAAGAGGCUGUGCAAACCAGAAAAAGUAGAAAGAGGGGCUAGAAGACUUGCCAAAAUACAGUUCAAAAAGAAGGAAAGACAUUUAAUUGGUAUAUAAAAAAACAAUGAUUAUGCUAUAUUGGUUGUUGAAGGCAGGUUGAAUAAGAAAUCACGUUGUUCUGAGGCCUGAUCUUUUAAGCCGCUCCUAAUUAAAUGCAUCUUUCCUCCUACUGGAUGCUAAGAGUCUUCCAGGUUACUGGCUGUAUUAAGUGAAAAUGAGACACUUAUUCAAUGUAUCUGUAUGGAUGUUGCAAAGUUGAUUGAAAAAAGAAGAUAAUGUGUGAAGUCUGUGUUAAAAAAGAACAUUGCUGAUUCAUUCUAAUGUGCUUAGAAGUUCCUGAACUCCUAUGCUUCAUCAGUACCUCGUAGUAUAGGUCAAAAUCCUUAGCAGAUAAAUGCUUAAUCCAAGAUAAAUCGUAAUAAAUCCAAAUGAGAUUAGACCUGUACUGAAAUA